AAGUGAAAUCAUCACUUUUGUUCCAUAAGUCAGGUUGAACGAUGAUUCUUCCAUCAGUAUAUGAGGAGUUGUUCGAUAUGUCCAUAAGAUCGGAUACAAUUCUUUCACCCAAAGGCCUUUAGCUUCAUUCAGUCUGGUUUUCAGACCAUGUAGGAUUAUUUGGUUUGUUACUUCUACAUCAUCUUGGAUUGUGAAUGGCU
rnacentral:lncRNA from 1 species